UGCUUGCCUCAGCAGCAAUACACUAAGGCUGUAACACGCAGAGAAAACUAGCAUGGCCCUUAUUCAAGGGUGACAGGCCGGUCUGUGAAGUGUUCCACAAUAGA
rnacentral:snRNA from 1 species